AACGAACGCUGGCGGCAUGCCUAACACAUGCAAGUCGAACGAUUGCCUUCGGGUGAUAGUGCCGCACGGGUGCGUAACGCGGGGUGAUCUGCCCUUAGGUUCGGAAUAACAGCGGGAUACGGCUCUUAAUACAGGAUGAUAUCGCGCGAUCAAAGAUUUAUCGCCUGAGGGUGAGCCCGCGUAGGAUUAGGUGGUUGGUGGGGUUAAGGCCUACCAAGCCGUCGUUCCUUAGCUGGUCUGAGAGGAUGGUCAGCCACACUGCUUCUGAGACACGGCCCAGACUCCUACGGGAGGCAGCAGUGGGGAAUACUGGACAACGGGCGCAAUCAUGACCGAGCACUGCCGCGAGAGUGAUGAAGGUAGUGGGGUUGUUAUGUUUUCUUACCCGGGAAGAUAAUGACUGUACCGGACGAAAAAGCCCCGGCUAACUCCGUG
rnacentral:rRNA from 1 species